UACGGAGGGUCCGAGCGUUAUCCGGAUUUAUUGGGUUUAAAGGGUCCGCAGGCGGGAUAUUAAGUCAGUGGUGAAAGCCUACAGCUUAACUGUAGCACUGCCAUUGAUACUGGUAUUCUUGAGUGUGGUUGAAGUGGGCGGAAUAUGUCAUGUAGCGGUGAAAUGCAUAGAUAUGACAUAGAACACCUAUUGCGAAGGCAGCUCACUAAGCCAUUACUGACGCUCAGGGACGAAAGCGUGGGUAGCAAACAGG
rnacentral:rRNA from 1 species